rnacentral:rRNA from 1 species
UAUACGACCGUACCGCAAACCGACACUGGUGCGCGAGAUGAGUAUUCUAAGGCGCUUGAGAGAACUCAGGAGAAGGAACUCGGCAAAUUGACACCGUAACUUCGGAAGAAGGUGUGCCCUAUUAGUGUGUAGUGAACAACGAAGCAUGAAUGGGUUGCAAAAAAUCGGUGGCUGCGACUGUUUAUUAAAAACACAGCACUCUGCAAACACGAAAGUGGACGUAUAGGGUGUGACGCCUGCCCGGUGCUGGAAGAUUAAAUGAUGGGGUGCAAGCUCUUGAUUGAAGUCCCAGUAAACGGCGGCCGUAACAAUAACGGUCCUAAGGUAGCGAAAUUCCUUGUCGGGUAAGUUCCGACCUGCACGAAUGGCGUAACGAUGGCCACACUGUCUCCUCCUGAGACUCAGCGAAGUUGAAAUGUUUGUGAUGAUGCAAUCUCCCCGCGGAAAGACGGAAAGACCCCAUGAACCUUUACUGUAGCUUUGUAUUGGACUUUGAACAGAUCUGUGUAGGAUAGGUGGGAGGCUUUGAAGCAGGGUCGCUAGAUCUUGUGGAGCCAACGUUGAAAUACCACCCUGGUGUGUUUGAGGUUCUAACCUAGGUCCAUUAUCUGGAUCGGGGACAGUGCAUGGUAGGCAGUUUGACUGGGGCGGUCUCCUCCCAAAGCGUAACGGAGGAGUUCGAAGGUACGCUAGUUACGGUCGGACAUCGUGACGAUAGUGCAAUGGCAUAAGCGUGCUUAACUGCGAGACUGACAAGUCGAGCAGAUGCGAAAGCAGGACAUAGUGAUCCGGUGGUUCUGUAUGGAAGGGCCAUCGCUCAACGGAUAAAAGGUACUCUGGGGAUAACAGGCUGAUACCGCCCAAGAGUUCAUAUCGACGGCGGUGUUUGGCACCUCGAUGUCGGCUCAUCUCAUCCUGGGGCUGUAGCCGGUCCCAAGGGUAUGGCUGUUCGCCAUUUAAAGAGGUACGUGAGCUGGGUUUAAAACGUCGUGAGACAGUUUGGUCCCUAUCUUCCGUGGGCGCUGCAGAUUUGAGGAAGCCUGCUCCUAGUACGAGAGGACCGGAGUGGACACACCUCUGGUGUAUCGGUUGUCACGCCAGUGGCAUUGCCGAGUAGCUAAGUGUGGAAGAGAUAACCGCUGAAAGCAUCUAAGCGGGAAACUCGUUUCAAGAUGAGAUCUGCCGGGGCCUUGAGCCCCCUAAAGAGUCGUUCAAGACCAGGACGUUGAUAGGUCAGGUGUGGAAGCCAAAGAAAAAAAAAAAAA